GACGAACGCUGGCGGCGUGCUUAACACAUGCAAGUCGAACGGUAAGGCCCUUCGGGGUACACGAGUGGCGAACGGGUGGGUAACACGUGGGUGAUCUGCCCUGCACUUCGGGAUAAGCCUGGGAAACUGGGUCUAAUACCGGAUAGGACCACUGCCUGCAUGGGUGGUGGUGGAAAGCUUUUGCGGUGUGGGAUGGGCCCGCGGCCUAUCAGCUUGUUGGUGGGGUGAUGGCCUACCAAGGCGACGACGGGUAGCCGGCCUGAGAGGGUGACCGGCCACACUGGGACUGAGAUACGGCCCAGACUCCGACGGGAGGCAGCAGUGGGGAAUAUUGCACAAUGGGCGCAAGCCUGAUGCAGCGACGCCGCGUGAGGGAUGACGGCCUUCGGGUUGUAAACCUCUUUCAGCACCGACGAAGCGCAAGUGACGGUAGGUGCAGAAGAAGGACCGGCCAACUACGUGCCAGCCGCCGCGGUAACAC
rnacentral:rRNA from 1 species